rnacentral:lncRNA from 1 species
UUUUUAAUGUGUUACUUAGGUGGAGAGUUGUCUCGUUGGCACUCAUAUUACAUCUUCUGCCUGUAUCUAUAUGCAACAAGUCACAAGCAGGCUAUUCCACCAUUACACGUUUUGCAAUUUUCUGUAAUUACCUAGUUUAUUUCUGAUUUUCUGACCAAAGUAAAUAGUUAUCAAAGGUACCAGGAUUAUAAUUUAGUACGCCAGACGCGCGUUUCGUCUACAUAAGACUCAUCAGUGACGCUCAAAUCAAAAUAGGUAUAAAGCCAAACAAGUGCAAAGUUGAAGAGCAUUGAUGAUUCAAAAUUCCAAAAAGUUGUGCCAAAUACGGCUAAGGUAAUCUACGCCUGUGAUAAGAAAAUCCUUAGUUUUUUCGAAAAAUUCAAAGUUUUGUAAACAGGAAAUUUAUAAAAAUGAC